GGAAUAAGAACCUGAAUAAGUCUCCCCCCAGAUCACUCGGUCAGCCAUAACACUCCACCUAGGCAAAUGGACUGCUCGAAUCAUCUCCUUCACCUCAUUUGGCAAAGGUGUAGCUAAACGAUAAAAAUCCCACCUGAAGCUGAGAUGAUAUCAGCGACACAAAGCUCAGAAUCUGCCAAGGAAAUGUUAUCAACUAAAAACCUGAGAGGCAUUGCACCAAGCCAACGAUCCUCCCAUAGAGCCACAUUCUGUCCUGUCCCAAUCCGCCACAUGAAAGCAUCACGAAGAAAGGUAGACGCCUUAAGGAUAGCACGCCAAACAUGCGAGCUAGUGCCUGAAAAACGAGCAUCAAAUAAGGAACCACCAUGCAAGUAUCUAUCACACAGCACUUUAACCCAUGGCUUAUCUUCAUUAGAGAGAAUCGACCAAACCAAUUUGCCAAGCAUCACAAUGUUAUUAUCACGAGCCGUGUGGAGACCCAAACCACCUGCCUUCUUGGGGGAAGUCACCGAUUCCCAACUAACAAGGUGAAUACCCUUACCCUCAUCAAGAGAUCCCCAUAGAAAACGCCUACAUAACCUGUCAAUAUCAUCACAAACAGUAGCAGGGAACCAGCAAGUUUGCAUGGUAUAAAGAGGAAUGGUAGAGAGAGUAGACUGUACGAGAGUAAGCCGACCCGCUUUGUUAAGAAGCUUGUUCUUCCACCCAGCCAAUCGAGAAUGCAGUUUAUCAAGGAUAUGAGUAAAGGACGCCCUUCUUUGAUUAACAUGCAAAGGGACUCCCAGAUAGAGUCCAAGAUUAGACGUAAAGGACAAGUGCAAACGUCUACGGAGUUCUUCCUUAUGGCGACGAGCAGUGUGCAGAGACAAGAAAACACUAGACUUCUGAUCAUUCACUAGCAUGCCAGAGCACGCACAAAACUGAUCCACAGUGUCCAAGACCACACGGCAUUCCUUCAAAGAAGCUUUAGAGAACAAGAUGACAUCGUCAGCAAACAAAAGAUGAGAAAUGCUUGGCCCUCCUCGAGAAAGACUAAGCGGCGCCCAUUGAUGAUUAGCAACUUUAGUCUCAAUAAGCAGUGAUAGUUUCUCCAUACAAAGCACAAAGAGAUACGGAGACAAAGGGUCCCCUUGACGAAGACCUCUCAUAGGAGCAAAUGCCGGUAAUCUUGACCCAUUCCAUAAGAUAGAGAGCUGUGAUUGGGUCACACAAGACAUGAUAAGCGAAAUAAUCUGAACAGGGAAACCAAAAUCAUGUAAGGUUUGUUGCAAAAAGCGCCAAUCCACUCUAUCAUAUGCUUUAGCCAGAUCAAUUUUCAUUGCCAAACAACCUGUCUUCUUCUUUGUGCGAUAGAUGCUAUGAACAAGUUCCUUAGCAAGAAUAAUAUUCUCCAAAGCAGUUCUACCUGGAAUAAACGCACCCUGAUAAGGACUCACCAAAGCAGAUAACAAAGGUCUAAUACGCUGCACAAAGGUAAAAGUACUCUUAACAUUCAUCCACUCUUCUUUUCUUUCGUUUCCGUUUCAAGACAAUAACCACACUAUCACAUCCAAUAGCAGAGAGACAUAAAUCAAACUUGCAUCUCUGUCUUGGUUGGCUAGAAUCCUUCUUAUCUUUCUCCUACAAGCCAAUCAUGCAGUCUAGCUCUACUUUAACUACGAUAUAUCUUGCUUUUGCUUUGUUCGAUCACAAAGAGUCAAACCCGGCUCCAGAAAGGGGGAUACUCAAUCCAUUACCAUGACUGAUAGGCUGAUCAAGCAAAGAUGAAAAGCUACCAUGUUCCGCUUCUCGAUAGGAGCAAAGACCGCCCCAUGAACACCAACCGAAUCUCGAUAAAAGAAAACUACAAGCAACUAAAGAAGGGUGACGAAGCUUCUUUGCAUCCCAUAGUGCUGUCGCACUAAGCGACUACCGUUCCAGAGUCGUACAACGAAGUGAUUAGCAUACCAGAGUGACGCAAGGCUCUAAGCUCGUACCUUAUAGCUCUUUUCUUUAUGCUCUCUCCGCUCGCUCCUUUUUGUAGCGUAGAUCUUUUUUCUCUUAAGAUAUUUUGAGAGGAGUGAGUGCGCUUUCGAAAGUUUCGACUUUUCGAUCUUUCUUCCCAGACUCUUUUUUUUAUUAAAAUA
rnacentral:misc_RNA from 1 species